UAAAGGCUCACCAAGGCGACGAUCCCUAGCUGGUCUGAGAGGAUGAUCAGCCACACUGGAACUGAGACACGGUCCAGACUCCUACGGGAGGCAGCAGUGGGGAAUAUUGCACAAUGGGGGAAACCCUGAUGCAGCCAUGCCGCGUGUAUGAAGAAGGCCUUCGGGUUGUAAAGUACUUUCAGCAGUGAGGAAGGUGGUGUUGUUAAUAGCNNCAUUAUUUGACGUUAGCUGCAGAAGAAGCACCGGCUAACUCCGUGCCAGCAGCCGCGGUAAUACGGAGGGUGCGAGCGUUAAUCGGAAUUACUGGGCGUAAAGCGCAUGCAGGCGGUCUGUUAAGCAAGAUGUGAAAGCCCGGGGCUNAACCUCGGAACNGCAUUUUGAACUGGCAGACUAGAGUCUUGUAGAGGGGGGUAGAAUUUCAGGUGU
rnacentral:rRNA from 1 species